GCCGCGGCCUUGUAGCCAUUCAACUCAGGGAAUCCCAACGGCGCCAACAGCGGGACGCCUAUGGGAAGAGCUGUUCCCUCCUUGCCCCGCCUCCUGCCGUGACGCAGCUUAGUCCAGCCCCUCCCUUGCCGCGGCUGCGGUAGAGAAGCUCCGCAGCGCAGCCACGUCUCCCGCGAUUAUCUCCCGGCCCCGGUGUCUCCGCUGCGGGCGCAGCUUUUGCCGGGCCGGUGUCAGUCGGUGCUGGGGGGAGGCGGAGGCGGAGGCGGAGGCGAACUUCUCGUGCCCCCCCGUGCAGAGGGACCGCCCCGCACGGAAGCCAGCGGCCCCACGGGCAGCGGGGGGACCUGGGGGAGGGGAUCCGAGCCUUGCAGGAGCCCGAGGGGGAUCGGGGGAGCGAAAAACCCAGGACCCCCUGCAGUGGGUCUGCGAGGAGGAUCAGACCCGCCCCCCUGCGUGGUGUGUCACAGGUCCCGGGCGCACCGCACUCCCGCGUUGGUUCCCACCGAGGCGGCUGCCUGGGAUUACAAGAAAGGAAACCAAACUACUAGCCGAAAGUUUAUAGCAAGCAGCCCGUCGCCCACUGUCUCUACUCCCCACCCAGGGCAGGUGGAAAGACCCAGGAUCCUGGCUGCCCGCGCGGCUCUCCCCAGGAAUGCACUGAGCAGGUUCACAGGAAGCAGGGGCUUCCCAAUGUCCAGGCUUGCCAGUCCUCCAGGAUUGUCCUGGAGUCUCCAGGAAUUAAAGAUUCAUCUCCAAUUAAAGAUUGUCCUUGGAUGAAAUCUCCAGGAAUAUGCCCAACCAAAAUUGGCAGCACCACCCAUUCCUAGUCACUGCAGCGACUGUGAGGUGCUGCAGGAGACUUAAUUCGGUGAAACAGGGACUUCCCUGCAUCUAGUUCCGUGCAGUGUUGCCAAUGUAGUCAUUGGUUGGAAAUUUGAACUGAAAUGGAAACAUUAAUAAGCACUUUAAAAAAGCACACACAGUGCAUGAUAAAAUACUUGUACCUGAGAAAGUAGAAUAGGUGUGAAAAGUCUGAACAAAGACCAGCUUCCUCUUACAGCUGUUGUUUUUUCUAACAUUGACUUAUUGGUUUUUGACAGUGUUGGCUAACGUUAUAAUUUAAAAUUACGGUUUGUAAGCAAGGUCCAAAUGAGCCCUUCUCUGACAGUUAGUGAUGAACCAGGCUGGGCAGCAAUGGAGAGUCAUGUGGGGGCCUGAGCAGACUCCUGCCCAGUGUCCCUGCCCCCCCAGGCUUCCUGCCCAGGGCAGGUGAAGGGUUCACAGUUCCUGCACAUAUACUAAAAUUGGAACGAUACAGAGAAGAUUAGCAUGGCCCCUGCGCAAGGAUGACACGCAAAUUCGUGAAGCAUUCCAUAUUUUUUCUCACAGCUGCUUGUUCGUCUCUUACCGUCAGAGCCUUACGCGGAUACAAAGUUUGUAUCCACAUUCGCACUAUCCAUGAAAAUGGUCCACGGAUAUCCGCAGAUAUGAAAUGGUUACCCACGGAUUUGCAGGGCUCUGCUCUUCGUGCUUGAAAUACAUGGGAAAUAUUAGUUUUGCCAUCUGCUCUGGGGAGCCAUAUAGAUAUGCUAAAUGCCUUGUAAGGAAUCUAUUUGUCAAAAAAGAUUUCCUGAAUAUUUUUGUUUGUCUAUAUUGUUAUUCACAUACUUGCUGACAGGCAUUUUGAAAUAAAUUACCAAAAUAAUUGGAAGUGGCAUGAUUAUACUGUGUUGUUUUAACACCUAAAAUAUGCAGAAUUUUAAAAUACCAUGUGCAGAGUUUUUAAUUCUUUGGCACAGAAUUCACUCAGGACCAAAAAUAUAUAAGGCCUGGUCUAGAUUACUGGUAGGUCAAUAUAAGCUGCCUUCCAUCGAUUAGCUGUAGAAGUGUUUUCAUUUAAAUUUGGCUCCUUUUGACGGAAGUGCCUUUCUACGCCCACCUAAUAACACCACCUCUCUGAGUUGCGUAGACUCAUGGUGAAUGUCAUUACGUUGGGGUAGUGUCAGUGCAGACACUGUGUUGCUUUCUGGGACUGUUACUGGCUUUCAGGGACUGUUGCACAGUGCCCCCCACUGACAGUACAAUCGAUACACGCGCUCAUGGUGAUGAUGUGCACUGCCAACGCAAUGAGCCAAAUGUGUAUGCACACAAGCGAUUUAAGAACUGUGAUGGCUGUGUGCUAACAUAAAUAAAGUCGAUCCAAUUGUGUCGCGUAGACCUGGCCUCACAUACCAUGUUUCUUUGCUCAGAAACCAAUCCAGAUGCAAGUGCAGACUUGGAAGGAAAAGAUAGACCAAGGAGAGGAGAAAACAGAAAUACAUGGAGAACGCAGGUGCUGAGAGACGGAAAGAUAUGCUGGAAAUUAUGCAACUCUUUUAGUUUAUGAAGGAAGACAUGGAACUGGUGAUCGAUGUAGCAGAGCAAAACUUUUUGAUGGGAAGUGUGGAGAAUAUGCACAAUGAAUAUGUCGCCAAACGCUCCGCGGAGAUUUCCCAUCUCAGCGAGCUGAUUGAUGAGAUGGAGGGGAAGUGCCAGCAGCAGCGAGUGAAUUCCUGCAGGACAUCAGAAGCGCCUUAGCCAGGUACGUGCUUCCUUCUCACUCUCUCUCUCUCAGCCUUCAUGAUGCUGGGAAAGGACUUGUACACACAUCUUCCCAGAACAUGGCACGGCGUGGGGCAGGGUUGCACUCCAGACAUAAGUACCGACCGGCAGGCAAGUUUUUUUUUUCUUUUCCUUCCACCUGCUGCCUUUACCUUAAUCCCACAGGCUUUGAUAGUUAUUUCCUCAUUGAUCUGAACCGCAGGAGACUGGAGUCUGAUAGGACUUCUCUCUCCUCCAGCCUCAGCUUCCCCAUCUCCUGCCUGCUCAUCCUUGGGGCUCGCCCCAUGGCCACUAGCUCACAAACCUGCAGCCACUUGGCUCUCUGCGCGUCCUGUUGAAAGAAUUGCAGAGAAGAAACCUGAGGGCAUCACCACGGAAAAGCAGAGCAGGAGGAGACAAGGGCAGUGCAAGGACAUAUCUCCUCUGGUUGGCUUUAUGUGGUUAUUUCAUACAUUGGCUUAGUGCAGGAGAUCAUGUCCCCCUAGUGGCCAGCCCCAGUCAUGAACAAUCAGCUCAUGGCUCACAGCUCAAAGGAGUUACUACUUUAAGGCAAGGGGUUGGGGCUUGUGAUUUCAGGGCUGAAGCUCCCACUUUAGAUGCACAGUCAAGCCAUGAAGCCAGUUUUUCGGUAGAGAGGGGCCCGAGCCCGGCCAAUCAGCCUGCCCUGGGGAAGGAACACAACCCCUGAGGAAGGGAGGGCAGCUCCAGGAUGGGCCAGCUGGGAUGCUUGGGGGGAGCACUAGGAAUGCAGGGAGUGGAGGAGAUUUGUAGGGAAUGUCUGCAGCUGGGGAAUGAGGGCUUGGUGUUGUAGGGCACCCCCGUCUGGAGCGCUCAGCUAGGGCAGGUACUUCCUCUCUCAGGUAACCCAGUAACUUCACUUCAGGCUCUCUUGGCACAAUUAUACCCUCCAUGGGGCUGGCUUGUUAUACAACCCCCUUGACAAAAUAGUCCAUAACAAAAGACUCAAACACAGUCCGUUUGUCACUGCCGCGUCCCUCGAUGCCCCACAUGCUACACACAGAUGCCUUCAACCAUGUGUGGCAUCUCUGUUGAUUGUCUUCUGUUACCCCUGCUCUUCCCAAUGAGACCCCAUCCGUGACCUCUCUGCUGGGAGCGUCCUCACCCUGUGAGUGCCCCUCACUCUCUCUGGCCCUCCCACGGCUCCCUCUGCUGCUGCUUCUGCCUUUAGCCCUCUGGCCCUGGCUCUCUGGCUUGGGGACCCCCAGCCAGAAAACCCUUCUUCCUGCUCUCCUGCCUUCGGUCUUCUCCAAGGUCCCAUACACACCGUCUCUGGCAGCUCUCACCUCUGGUCCUUCUCCUGCUGCCUCUAUUUCGCUGGGUCUCCUCCUCACCAGUCAGUCUCCCAGCAGGUUCCCACUGUCCCUGGCACUCACUCCCAGGGGAUUUCCUGCUUUCACAGCUCCUUGUCUGCUCCCUCUGUCCCUUUCCCGACUCACUCUCAGGCCUGAUGGAUCCAGCCUUCCCCUCACUGGGACCCCCUCCUCUAGGGCCCAGCUGCCCUCUUUUAAGCCCCAUGCUGCAGUGACCUGAUAAGGCACAGGCCCAGCUCCUCAUUCAAGGACCAGUGUCCCCCUAUGACACUGGGUCACUGGCCACCAGUGGCUGAAGAAGUCCAGCUUUUCUGUUCAGCUGGGAAUUGCUUAAAAAAAACCUUGUAAAAGCAAUAUUAUUCUUCAAGCAUCAUCAUCAUUAUGAUCAUGUUCCCAUUAUGCCUCUGGCAUUUAGGGCAGCAACAAAGCUCCUCCACUCCCGUCUGUUUCUGUCAAGUCUGGUUCAAUGCACAGAGGAUUGGAGCUCCAUCAUUGCCAGGAGGCGUUGGAGAUGGAUUGGCCAUGUGCUUCAGCUGGAAAUCAGUUCCAUCACCAGAAUAGCAAUAAGAUUGACACCUGAAGACAAGCGAAAACGAGGCUGCCCACAAACAACAUGGCAAAGAGCUGUGGAAGCUGAGCUGAAAACCUGGGGCACAGCUGGGGAACCAUUUUCAAGCAUGGAGGUGGUUAAUACUCUCCAUCUCCUCCCAGGUGCUGCUGUCCAGGCCCUAUCUCCUGACCCUCCCCAGUGCUCUGAUUUUGGUCAGCCGUGGUCCUGCAGACUUACAGAGUAUUUUUUAUACACACUGGCUGGUCAACACCCAAUGUAUCUCUCGCCUGAUCAGUUACAUCUCUCUGCUCUUUGGCAGGUCAGAAGUAUACUUUCUCUGCCAGGGUAAGAGACAUGGGGAUGUCAGAGCCUAGAGAAUCCAUUUCAUGAGCCUUGGAGAAAAGUAUUUUCCCCCCUCCUCCCCCCAGCAGCACAUCUGAGUUUGGCAUAAGUGCUGACUUCUGUUUUUGUCAAUGGGUGCUUUUGAAGAGGUGUGUGUGUUGGGGGGAUGGAGGGAAGGGCACUCUGCCAGUUUGGGGAGGAGGCUAUUUUCAGCCUAUUUAUACACUACUUUCAUAUUCUGGUUAAUGAAUAUGUGUCUAUGUGACAUUCCUCUGGUGUUAUCUGGACUAGUGCACAGGCAACGUGUGAGUAUGCGGUAUUGGUGCGGGUGGUGGGUGAAGCUUCUCCUUCCACCAUCUUCUGGCUUAUCUUAUCUGGACUGGUGAUCUGCUAGGUCACUCCAAUCCUUGACCCUGGGAGCCAGUGUUUCCCUGCUGUGAGAACUCCCAUUCCCGGGUUGUUCACGCACAGCCUCUGGCAUGUAAGCUGCUCCCAGCUACAUGAGUGAACACUUUUGGCCAGCUGCUGCUUGGAUGUGCAACCAAAUGACACUAGUCAAUAUCUCUGGGCCCAGACACAACCCUGGGAACCUCCAUCUUGCAGUGGCCAGUUAUGCCCACUGAGUGCUGCAAACUUAUAUGAGUUUGUCAAUUUAAACAAAGAAAUUGAUAUGUACCAGGC